rnacentral:rRNA from 1 species
AUCCAUAGAAGCUUGUAGACUUCGGUCUGCUACCUCUUACCCAUGUCUUUUGAGUACCUUCGUUUCCUCGGCGGGUCCGCCCGCCGAUUGGACAACAUUCAAACCCUUAGCAGUUGCAAUCAGCGUCUGAAAAAACAUAAUAGUUACAACUUUCAACAACGGAUCUCUUGGUUCUGGCAUCGAUGAAGAACGCAGCGAAAUGCGAUAAGUAGUGUGAAUUGCAGAAUUCAGUGAAUCAUCGAAUCUUUGAACGCACAUUGCGCGCCUUGGUAUACCAUGGGGCAUGCCUGUUCGAGCGUCAUUUGUACCUUCAAGCUCUGCUUGGUGUUGGGUGUUUGUCUCGCCUCUGCGUGUAGACUCGCCUUAAAACAAUUGGCAGCCGGCGUAUUGAUUUCGGAGCGCAGUACAUCUCGCGCUUUGCACUCAUAACGACGACGUCCAAAAGUACAUUUUUACACUCUUGACCUCGGAUCAGGUAGGGAUACCCGCUGAACUUAAGCAUAUCAAUAAGCCGGAGGAAGAUCAUUACCUAGAGUUUGUAGACUUCGGUCUGCUACCUCUUACCAUGUCUUUUGAGUACCUUCGUUUCCUCGGGGCGUCCCGGAUUGGACAACAUUCAACCUUUGCAGUUGCAUCGCGUCUGAAAAAAAUAAUAGUUACAACUUUCACACGGAUCUCUUGGUUCGGCAUCAUGAAAAAGCACAAAUGCAUAAGUAGUGUGAAUUGCAGAAUUCAGUGAAUCAUCGAAUCUUUGAACGCACAUUGGCUUCGCUAUUCAGGGGGGCAUGCGUUUCAGCUCAUUUCUACUUUCACUGCCUGGUGGUUGGGGUGGUUUGUUCUCGCCUCUGCCCGUAGACUCCCUUACAACAAAUGGCAGGCGGCCUAGUGUAUUUUGGAGCGAAGAGACUCCUUCUACUAGCUCACUUCAUCACUCUUGACUCGGAUAGUAAGGAUACCCCUGGAACUAGGCUAUCAUAAAGGGGAGGGAGAAUAUA